rnacentral:rRNA from 1 species
AACGAACGCUGGCGUCAGGCUUAACACAUGCAAGUCGAGCGCCCCGCAAGGGGAGCGGCAGACGGGUGAGUAACGCGUGGGAAUCUACCCAUCUCUACGGAAUAACGCAUGGAAACGUGUGCUAAUACCGUACACGUCCUUCGGGAGAAAGAUUUAUCGGAGAUGGAUGAGCCCGCGUUGGAUUAGCUAGUUGGUGGGGUAAAGGCCUACCAAGGCGACGAUCCAUAGCUGGUCUGAGAGGAUGAUCAGCCACACUGGGACUGAGACACGGCCCAGACUCCGACGGUAGGCAGCAGUGGCGAAGAUGGGAAAAUGGGCGGAAGCCUGAUCGAGCCAUGCCGCGUGAGUGAUGAAGGCCCUAGGGUUGUAAAGCUCUUUCACCGGUGAAGAUAAUGACGGUAACCGGAGAAGAAGCCCCGGCUAACUUCGUGCCAGCAGCCGCCGUAAUAC